CCUUUCCUUUAAUGCUUCCUCCACAUUUCUUCGAAUUCUUCCUGAGAGUGUUGACUUCUGUAUCCUUGACUACUCAUUAAGAGUGUCUUUUUCAUUCUAUGGAGCAAAACAACUCAAAAUUCUGUUCUAGUGUUAUCGUUUGCCUGUUGGCUUUUGAUAUUGCUGCUGUCAUCCUAAAGUAGCAUACAUAGCACCAAGAAUACUCUAAGGAAGUC
rnacentral:lncRNA from 1 species